CAGUAGCGUAUAUUAAAGUUGUUGCAGUUAAAAAGCUCGUAGUUGGAUUUGUGGUUCGUCCCGCCGGCUGGGUCAUUGACUUUUGCUGUGCUGGUCGUCCAUCCUUGGGUGGAAUCUGUGUGGCAUUAGGUUGUCGCGCAGGGGAUGCCCAUCGUUUACUGUGAAAAAAUUAGAGUGUUCAAAGCAGGCUUAUGCCGUUGAAUAUAUUAGCAUGGAAUAAUGAUAUAGGACCUUGGUACUAUUUUGUUGGUUUGCGCACUGAGGUAAUGAUUAAUAGGGACAGUUGGGGGUAUUCGUAUUCCAUUGUAAGAGGUGAAAUUCUUGGAUUUUUGGAAGACGAACUACUGCGAAAGCAUUUACCAAGGAUGUUUUCAUUAA
rnacentral:rRNA from 1 species